UGGGGAAUCUUAGACAAUGGGGGAAACCCUGAUCUAGCCAUGCCGCGUGAGUGACGAAGGUCUUAGGAUCGUAAAGCUCUUUCGCCAGGGAAGAUAAUGACGGUACCUGGUAAAGAAACCCCGGCUAACUCCGUGCCAGCAGCCGCGGUAAUACGGAGGGGGUUAGCGUUGUUCGGAAUUACUGGGCGUAAAGCGCGCGUAGGCGGGCUGGAAAGUUGGGGGUGAAAUCCCAGGGCUCAACCCUGGAACUGCCUUCAAAACUAUCAGCCUAGAGUUCGAGAGAGGUGAGUGGAACAGCGAGUGUAGAGGUGAAAUUCGUAGAUAUUCGCUAGAACACCAGUGGCGAAGGCGGCUCACUGGCUCGAUACUGACGCUGAGGUGCGAAAGCGUGGGGAGCAAACAGGAUUAGAUACCCCCGUAGUCU
rnacentral:rRNA from 1 species